rnacentral:rRNA from 1 species
AUUGAACGCUGGCGGCAGGCCUAACACAUGCAAGUCGAGCGGUAGAGAGGUGCUUGCAUCUCUUGAGAGCGGCGGACGGGUGAGUAAUGCCUAGGAAUCUGCCUAGUGGUGGGGAUAACGUUCGGAAACGGACGCUAAUACCGCAUACGUCCUACGGGAGAAAGCGGGGGAUCUUCGGACCUCGCGCCAUUAGAUGAGCCUAGGUCGGAUUAGCUAGUUGGUGAGGUAAUGGCUCACCAAGGCGACGAUCCGUAACUGGUCUGAGAGGAUGAUCAGUCACACUGGAACUGAGACACGGUCCAGACUCCUACGGGAGGCAGCAGUGGGGAAUAUUGGACAAUGGGCGAAAGCCUGAUCCAGCCAUGCCGCGUGUGUGAAGAAGGUCUUCGGAUUGUAAAGCACUUUAAGUUGGGAGGAAGGGUAGUAACCUAAUACGUUGCUACUUUGACGUUACCGACAGAAUAAGCACCGGCUAACUUCGUG